rnacentral:tRNA from 1 species
GCGGGGGUGGCCGAGCCCGGCCAAAGGAGGUUGGGGCUAGAGACCCCGUCCCCGGAGGGGGUUCGUGGGUUCAAAUCCCACCCCCCGCACCA